rnacentral:rRNA from 1 species
UACGUAGGGUGCGAGCGUUGUCCGGAAUUACUGGGCGUAAAGAGCUCGUAGGUGGUUUGUCGCGUUGUCCGUGAAAACUCACAACUCAAUUGUGGGCGUGCGGGCGAUACGGGCAGACUGGAGUACUGCAGGGGGAGACUGGAAUUCCUGGUGUAGCGGUGGAAUGCGCAGAUAUCAGGAAGAACACCCGUGGCGAAGGCGGCUCUCUGGAACGCAACUGACGCUGAGACGCGAAAGCG